GUGCCAGCAGCCGCGGUAAUACGUAGGGUGCAAGCGUUGUCCGGAAUUAUUGGGCGUAAAGAGCUCGUAGGCGGUUUGUCGCGUCUGCUGUGAAAUCCCGAGGCUCAACCUCGGGCUUGCAGUGGGUACGGGCAGACUAGAGUGCGGUAGGGGAGAUUGGAAUUCCUGGUGUAGCGGUGGAAUGCGCAGAUAUCAGGAGGAACACCGAUGGCGAAGGCAGAUCUCUGGGCCGUAACUGACGCUGAGGAGCGAAAGCAUGGGGAGCGAACAGGAUUAGAAACCCGUGUAGUCC
rnacentral:rRNA from 1 species